rnacentral:rRNA from 1 species
AGAGUUUGAUCAUGGCUCAGAACGAACGCUGGCGGCGUGGAUAAGACAUGCAAGUCGGACGAGAUUUUUCGUUGUAGCAAUACGAUGGAAAGUCUAGUGGCGAACGGGUGCUUAACACGUGGGCAACCUGCCGAGAAGUGGGGGAUAGCUCGCCGAAAGGCGAAUUAAUACCGCAUGUGAUUAGAGUGGACAUCCAUUCGAAAUUAAAGUCGGGGCAACCUGACGCUUCUUGUGGGGCCCGCGGCCUAUCAGCUAGUUGGUGAGGUAAUGGCUCACCAAGGCUUUGACGGGUAGCUGGUCUGAGAGGACGACCAGCCACACUGGGACUGAGACACGGCCCAGACACCUACGGGUGGCAGCAGUCGAGAAUUUUUCUCAAUGGGGGAAACCCUGAAGGAGCGACGCCGCGUGGAGGAUGAAGGUCUUCGGAUUGUAAACUCCUGUCAUUGGGGAACAAUGCGUGAUGGUUAACUGCCGUCGCGUUGAUAGUACCCGAAGAGGAAGAGACGGCUAACUCUGUGCCAGCAGCCGCGGUAAUACAGAGGUCUCAAGCGUUGUUCGGAUUCAUUGGGCGUAAAGGGUGCGUAGGCGGCGCGGUAAGUCGGGUGUGAAAUCUCGGAGCUUAACUCCGAAACUGCAUUCGAUACUGCCGUGCUUGAGGACUGGAGAGGAGACUGGAAUUUACGGUGUAGCGGUGAAAUGCGUAGAUAUCGUAAGGAAGACCAGUGGCGAAGGCGGGUCUCUGGACAGUUCCUGACGCUGAGGCACGAAGGUCAGGGGAGCAAACGGGAUUAGAUACCCCCGUAGUCC